AAAUGCACCUGGCAGGGGAGAUGCUGUGAUCAGGAAGGUGGCUUUCCCAGGGCGAGACUUAUCCACUGCACUCCGGAUGAGCUGACCCCUGGAUUUCCCCAAAUGUGGGAAACUCGACUGCAUAACUUGUGGUAGUGGGGGGCUGCGUUUGCGCUCUCCCCUG
ensembl:snRNA U1 U1 spliceosomal RNA